UUUAUUUUCCUGUAAAAGAGGUCUGUACAAGCCUAGAGAAGAAGUCAUCUGGAACUAGGAAACCCUGUGAGAAGAUCUAGGACAAGAGCAACCGUUUUUCAAGAGAGAGUACUUGAAAAGGCAUCCAGCACAAGUUGUGCAAUGAGAGGUCAGCCCUUAUUAAACAAGGACUCCGUGGAAGAAAAAGAGCUAAGGAUUCAAAUCUAUUAAAAAAAAACAGGUAGGCUUCAUUAGAUCUGCUGUUCAUAGGAGUAAUUGUUUAUUCUGCAUAGCAGUAUUUCAGUCUAUAGGCUUUCUCUCCUGUGGUCAGCCAUUUCUGGGAAAGGAAGUGAACAUCAGUGUAACAUUGAAUAAGGAUGUAGCUUUUAAUUCUCUCUCUUCAGCAGCGUUGUGUCAAAUGCUCAAGCUGAAGUUUCAGACUUCCUAAUUGUGGUAAAAAAGUCAGAGGUGUUUCAAUAUUUCUAUGUUUUGUGUACUUCAUGGGCUAAUACUAAGAAGAAUUUCAAUAAAAGAUGGUACCUGGAAUUACAAGGUAUUGCCGGCAAUGUUGUGAAAACAUAUAGUUAAAUGUUUGGCUGCCAUCAGUACUACUGUGGAUAGACUGAACAAAGACAUUAGGAGAAGAGCAAACCUCAGUAGCAUGGUUUCUGCUAGUAUCAUUCAGACUGGUACUGGAAUGGCACAUAAUUACAAUCAGAUCAAAUGAGAUAAAAAUGAAUUGAUAACAGAAUAGAUAGCUACUGCAGUUCUGUAGUGUUCAGCCAUGUCAGCAAUGUCACUCCACUUUCAGUCAUCAAAAAUAUUUCAAAUUUAGCCUUCAAAAUUUUAGAAGUAAAAUACAAUGGGAGGAUUUUGGCAAUCCAAUUUAUUUCGUUGUUUUUGUUGGUUUGUUUCUACAUCAUACUCGGCAUGAUGAUAUUUGAGUCCUUGUCUCCCCGAGUGUCUAAGGAGAAAAGCUACUGGAUCAAUUGUGUAAGCAAUUCACAAGAGUGGGUGUUCUCCCCAGUCCACAUUGUAAUAGCCACUUCAUGCAUCUUUAAAUUUUAUUAUUAACAUUAGCUACUUAAUUUUCACAGCAUCUUUGAGCUACCAGUACCCCUAAAUUGAAAGGAUAAGCAGUUUAUUUUAGUGGCAGAACUUGGAGAUUACUGAUGCCAAUCACUACACUCACAGCUCAUUAAAGCAUGGUGGUGUUGCUGCCCGCUUUCCUUUUCUCCCCCUUAAUGGAUAACAUAACAGGGAUUAAAAUCUGAAAGCAAUCUAGAUUUGUAGUUGGUGAUGAGAGGAAGGCGAAUCAGGAAGUUUUCUGGUCUUUCUUUUCUUUGAUAUUGCUUCCCAUGGGAAUAUGAAUUACAUGAUUUAAUUUUAGGGGAUAACCCCCCACUUGGCUAGAUUAACAGGUAAUUUUGAAAGUAAGCCAGCCUAUCUGACACAAAGGUUCUGUGUCCCAAAGAAUGAAUCAUUGAGUGAAAGUCUCUUAGGAGUCGAACGUGACGCCAAAAUUCCAGAUGAAUAAAGAUCGGUUUAUGCUAUGGAAAGAUAAAUGAAAUGUAGCUUGCAAAGUCUAUCCAACAUACAUACAUACUACCUAAAAACUAUGUCUGUCUCUUGCAGAUCCUCCAGGUACAGUUUUCUAAAAUAUUUCCCAUUAACAUCUCUGAAAAGAGGCUCUAGUGAUUUAGCGUUCACAUUUACUCACUGAUAGGAGUCCAAAUGCAAGUCCUUUCAGAGUAUGGAUGUGCUGUGCACAGCUAUGGCCUCAGCCCUGUUUCCAGUGGUGCUUUCAUGGGAUGGGAGCCUAAAGCACCUGCACUGUUCCUUUAUUUAUAUUUGAAGGUUUCUAAUCUAAAAAGACAUUGCUAGACUUCCUUUUCUUUUUUCCUUUUACCCACUAUCUCUAGCUAAUGCUUGCGUUUUCUGGAGUUCAUUGAAAAACAAACAAAAAACCCCAGGGAUGCUGGAAUUGUGUCAGUAUAAACAAGUAGCUUCUUCUGUCAUUGGACAAGACAACAUCUUUUGUCCUGCAGAGGAGGAGCCCUGGUCUGGACCUGACUGCUGAGUUGUGGUCUUUCCUGAUUAAUUGCCUUGACAAGCUUUCUGCUUAAGGUGUUUUAACACUUCUGUAACAUUUAAAACCAACUGUUUGCACUCCAACUGCACAAAAAGCAUUGCAAAGCUUGUCUGCCCCCUCCUCCCAGCCAGCCAGGUCUGCUCUGGUGAGCAUGGACAUAAAACAUAUAGUCUGUGACGGUACUGGAAGCUUGCAGUUAAGUUCAAUGGAAGCAGAUUGCAGGCUGGAUUCAUAAAGAAAAAGAAAUAGUCAAGAGUAAAUUACUUUAUAAGGGAGUGUGUUCAGAUAUAAAACAAAGUUUGAUAGACAGCAGAGAUAAAAAGGGGAAAGGGUGAAAUUAUGUUCUGUUAUGUGCUUUGUAAGUCUCCAAAUCACAGAAUUUACUUUUUAACAUGAGAAAAUUGCUCGUAAGAAGGAAUGAAAUUACUACACCAGCCCAAGACAGGUGUAGCUGGUAUUUUGGGAGUUCAGAGCUUACCAUAACAUACAUAAAUCCGGUGUGAAAACACGUCUUAGAAAUAUAUCUGCUUUGUUUUAAGCAACCCUUUAAAUUCUGAGAAUUAGCACAGUCCUCCAUUACAUACUCUGCACUUGAGAUUCCUGGAGCUUGCUGAACAACCUCUGCAGGCAGAACGAACUGAUACUUAAACUGUGAAGAGAGGAAAGGUGCUACCACUGCUGUGCUCCAUUGUCCUGGCCUAUGACUUAUGCUACUCUUGACUUUUCUCCUGAAGGGUGUUACUGUAAAUACCGAUCAAUAAUGCUUAAAGAAGAAAUAGCCAUAGUGCUGUUUGUAGCCUUGAUAAUCAGGGGAUAAGCAAGGCAAAGUUUGUGAAGAGUAACAUCUCUUGUUAAGCCUAGUGAUAUAGUUCGAAGAAGUCAUGAAAAUAAUAUUCUAAAACUUGGUAAGAGAUGGAAUUGCUCAGGCUGUUUGUCUAGCGAAUAUAAUGUACCUUUUGUUACCCUGCCUAUUUUUGCACUACCUUCUAAUUUUCUCAAGCUGCUACAAGUCUUUUAUUUGAGGAUGCUUCUGUUGUAUAUUAAUGAAGAAGUUAAAUUAUCUAGGCAAGGUAGGCUAAAGCUGAAACUCCCCCAGCAUCAUCUUUCUUAACUAUCAUUGUCCUGUAAGAAAAUCGGUCUGUAAGUGAUACUAUUCACCUGAACAAAAAGAAACUGUUAUCGUGGUAUUUGUCAGCUGUGUGUAAUACUGAUACCUGAGCUGGCCUUUGGAGCCAGAUAUCAUUACAGAUAAUGUGAUGGUGUCUGCUUUCAGGCAGUUUUGAAUUCUGAGUACAAGAGCAGCAGGAGCAGAGAAGACCUCAGAAUGCAGCCAUUCCCCACCCCAACUCCAGUGUCUGCGAAUAUUCCGAACCAGGUUUCAUUCACAAGCGUUUACCUCUUCUGUAACUACUACAACAAUAACAAUUAUUUUUCCAAACAGUUUGCAUAUAUAGUGUCAUGUGAAUCAAUUAAAUAAUUGACUCCAGGAAUCAACUCAUAAUAGAACUACUGACAGAAACGAAAGCGUAGUCAUUAGAAGUAUUGUGUAAAUAUUCUCUUAGAAAUAUUUCUUACAUAUAUGACGCUAAGCAUAAACCCGAGGAACAACAUGGACAAGUAGGUAGCAGCUACUGAUAUGACAAACUGAUUGUGUAAGUAGAAUUCUCUUCUGUUUUAACAGCAAAAGGGAAGUCAAUGUCACAAGUGCAAGCAUUUAAAACAGUCCUGGUUUUGUUAACUUUACCAUAGCGUUAAAGAUUGAAGUUCACCUGGACUCUUCAUUAAAAGUGCUUUUAUGUUACAGCUCUGAGCACUGAGUCAAAUCCUUGAUCUCAUGGGAAGUACUUUUUAAGUGCUGUGGAGGCGAUUCUGUUGGACUGAUGGGAAACAAUGCAGUGAUCAAUCAGCCUCUGAAGAAAGAGGUUGUGCUAGAAAAAUCAAGAUGUGACUGAAAGUUUUGCUGCAAAGACAGAAUGAAAAUACCAUAAUUUGAAUUCCAGCAAAAUCCUGACAUUUUGACAAGCUGGGUGAAUGAGAUUCUUAUAGGUACUCCAUCUUGUAAAUCAUGACAGAAAGGAUGGAAGCUGCAAGACUGCCUUGUAAGGACUCCCUUACAAGUUCAGGAACAUGCUGAAGCAGAACUGCUGGAGCUUGUCAGGGCAGACUGGCAGCUUGCUGUAAUUUAGACAGUAUGUGUAGUAUAUUUUAAGACUGGAAGGCUACCUACUUGUGUUAAAGCAUAUACAAUAUUUCUGUCCUUGGGCUGGAGUUUUGUGUUGUGACUCUCUAACUUUACCUUCUGGGCACAUCUGAAACAAAAAGGAAGUAUACCUGAUGAAAGCAGGAUCAGUUUGUACUGAUUCUUGUAGGGAUAUAUAAUGAUAGAAACAGUUGUUCCAAGAGUCAUUUACAGUUUGUUUAAAAAAAAAUCACAUGAGGGAGUUCACAAUAACAAGACGACUUUAUAAGACUUGCAUAAGUAGAUUGCCAAUUUAUCACCAAAUUAUUUUCAGAAAUUUGUCUUAGAUGUGAUUUUACAUGAAUAAGUAUAGAAAAGAGCUUGCAGUCUGUCAGUGUUAAGGAUUAUGAGUUGAUUUAUGUCUUUUGCCUUAAGAAAUGAAACAUCAAUAAACAAACACACCAUUUAAUCUUUGUGUAAUAGUUAAAUUGUUACAUAGGGAGCCAGUUAUUCUAAAAUGACUAAGCAUUCCUUCAUGCACCAAAACAUGUGUUGGACACAAGGUCAUGUCUGUCCUUCCUGUAAAUCUGCUGAUGUAUAUUUGCCUCCAAAACUUACAGGAAUGACUACAAACAGAUAAGCAACAAGUUGAGUCAUUCUAAUCUUACCAAUGUUACUUCUUACAUUACAAAUUCAGAGGAAUACGUGCACAUGCGACUGCUCCUUGUGAGAAUGAUUUGUAUGGGAAUAUGACAGAAGAUAUUGUUUGUACUUGCCUGUUACAUAUUUCUCAGAAAUGUACUUGAAGUAGCAGCCAGCCCACAGACAUACAUGAUGAGGACUUGUAUGAUUUUUUUGAUCGAGUAUCAUGUUUUUAUAAAAAUUGAGCUCAGAUGACGAAUUGGAAUAAAGUUAAGGUGAACAAGUAAUUUUUUUUUGCUAUCUAGGUUCUAAAUAAAAAAAAUUAAUUAUGGAAAGAAGUAUUGAUGAGGAGGUUGGCCUUGCUGUUUCUGUCAAGACAAACUUCUGCCGUGGCAUAUGUAAAUAGAACAACUACUGAGGUCAGGGUCCUCACUGAAUUUUAGUCUUUGCUCUAAUGAUUUCCCCAAAUGGUUUCAUACUAAAUUAGGGCAGCAUAGUGUUUGAAAUGUUAUGAUUCCCGUAAAGGAAAUUGUAAGACUCAAGAGAUCCUGAUGAGAAGAGUGUGGAAUACACCGGAAGAAGACAAUUGUUUAGCUGUAUUUUUAGUCAUAAUCUAACCUAAUCUAAUGGGCUCUUUAUAGUAAGCCUGGCCUGUUGUGGCUAUUGCUAACUGUGGUUGUGUGCUUUAAGCUGGAUCUUGUAAAAAAUUAAGAAAACAUUUCCUUUUUAGUGCAUUUUAUUUUCUUUCUUUUGAGUGUCUCUAGGCAGCCCUAGACCAUAUUUCAUUAUGUGAGAACUACUCGGAAGUCCUCCUUGUAAUGACUGUUCAAAGUUCCCUCUAAAGUCCAGAAAAUCAUUUUUAGGUACUUUGUUUUGUACAGCCAUCUAAUGAUUGUACAGUUGCAUAUGUUCUACUAAUAAGACAUGUAACUGUUUGCACCAACAAAAUUUAAUAUAGAGUGCCAAAUCUUUCCCUAGAUUUAGUAUGGUAUAGAUUAGAAAUACCUCUGUCAGUACUGCUUUCCUUUCCUAAAAUGUGUAUUCUUCAGUCAGAAAUUCCAUGUCCAUACAGCAUCCUAUUUAGGAUCUAAUACUCUAAAGCUCUGCUCCUGAUGGGGCUUUUCAGUUUUGUCAUAAAUUGUACAGUAAGACAACAUUGAAACUGCAUUCUCCUUUGACUUUAUGUAGUGUGCAAACCUACCGAUCUCAGUGGUACUGUCUAUGAAGUGCUGAUUUGACCCAAGAUCAUUAAAUAUCUAGGUGCUCCCUUGGAUGAAAGAAUCAAAAUCCAAGCACAAACCCAUGAAUAUGUGUGCUAUCAAUCAUGGCUACGGAAUCUCGAACCCUACUGGGCUGUACAUAUUGAUAUGUAGUGCAGCCUCCUAUGUCUGAUGAAUUAAUUGAGUACAUCACAGUCUCUGAAAUGCUGCAGAUAUCUAGGUGUUGUGGGGCAUAAUAGGUACCUGGGUAAUACUACAGCAAGUUGUGUCUUGCUGCCUAAGCAGGCAGAAAGUUACUGUCAGGCAUUACCUCUGGAAAAGAAAGUAGUUCUAAACUCUGCACAAAUCUGAGCAGGUAAUAAAUGUACUGUUUCUACAGAAUACAAAUGUUAUGUCUGCAAGCAGGUACAUGUUUCUAUUUCAUGCAUGCAACAUGGCUUAAAACAAAGAUUUAAUUACGUAAUGCUUGCAAGUUGCUGUACAUUUUCUACAUAAUGACUCAGAAUGAGAAGUGAUAUUUGUGUAGAUCAGGGUAACAAAAUUGAUUAAAGUUUUUUAGUUCAGAACACCUAUCAAAUUUCGUCUCUAUGUUCCCCCUGCUCCUUCCCCAGAAGGCCCAGUAUAUUGGCUAUAGAUACUAGAUGUGAUAAAGAUUUUUUUAUUCUUUAUGUAAAAUAUAGAAAUUGGUUAUUUUAUGACAACUGUUCCAAACAGAUUUGCAGAUAAUUUUCCAGUCAUGGAAGGUUUCAUGUGUAAGAGUAAGAAGGGAAUGGAACUAGCUUGAACAAAAAGCAUCAAAGAACAAAACAAUUCAUACAUUUGGAGGUAGGCCCCUUCUCUUAAAACACUGCCCUUUAUUUGAUAGGCCAUCCCUCAGUUCCCCCCUACUUGAAAUUCCUCCUUGAAAUGCACUUCCUUGGAGAGGUCAAUAAUCCUUUGUGUCACCAAAUGUGUAUGACUGACUGCUAUAUUGUUUUUGUUGUGUUUUCUUUUAAAACCUGUCAGUUUAAAAAGACCUGGAGUGAACAAAAGUAUGUUACUCUUGAUGAGCAGGGUUAAUGUGGAGGUCUAACAUGCUUCAGCUUUUUUUUUCAUGAUGUGCUCCAAGUUUAUUGAGAAGUAGCAGAAAUACAAUUUUAAAAAAAGAAAAAAGAACACAUUAAAACUUUCCCAGCCUGAGACAAAACCGAGGCAACUUUAUUUGGAGAGUGCUUGCUACAAAAUGGCAAAGUUUGCAUACAAAAUUUGUCUUCUGUUGUUUUGAUUCUAACUGCAUAUUCUGUGAAGAAACAGGAUUGCAUCAAGGAAAUAGUUGAUUUCAGCAGUCACUGCUCCUAUAUAAAUAAACAACCCACAAGGCUCCAAGUAUUGAUUUACUACUUAGAUUAGAAGUGCUAACAUUAUGCAAUCCCUUUGCUGAUACCAGGAAUGAGGUGAGAAGCUGUUGACUAUUUGCAAGCUUGCCCUGAAUCACGGGUGAAAACCAGAGACCUUCUAGACUGACUUUGGUCUCUCCUCCACACACCUUUCUCUUGCUUCUUUUUGACCUCUGUGAUAAGGAUGAAAAUUAGCGUUGGUACAGGGCAAUUGCACUGUCUGGAAAGUUCUGUUAUACUGAUCACAUUCCAGAGAAAGCCAUUGCUGGGUUUUUCUUACCGGAAAGAUACAAAGCAGAGAGAAGCAGAAUCCUUUCAGUCAGAUUUGGUUUUAAAGAUAAUGUGACAUACUGUUAUAUAAAGGCAGUUUUAAUUUUUGUUUGUGGACUCCUAAAAUGUUUGCAAAGGCGUUUCAGACAUCUUGUAGUGAACGUAAGCUUCGUGACAAUGGGCUUGUUUUUCUUAGCUACCUGUUUUGAAGCCUUUGGAAGCAUUCCACUUAUCCUCAGGGUAUUGCUAGUUGACCAUACCUUUAUUUAUCGAGAGUAAAUAAAUCUGUUUCUGCUUCAUUUUCAAAAAAGAAUGUUUGAAAGCUUUCAAAGAACUAGUUUAAACAUAACUAUUUCUUCUGACAAAUAAAAGAGCAACUGCUACAUCAGUAAAUCCUGCGUAAUUCAGUUAGGCAUUUGCAUACCUGUAGCUACACGAAAGGUUUCCCAAAGUGCUGUUUCUAAAGCCUCCACAGAACAAGGUGUAUUUGACUCUUCACUUGGAUACCCUGUCCGUAGGAAGUUUAAUUUUAGGACUCAUUUUUCUAACGAUAACCUGACAGGUUAUAUUUUUUCCUUAGACUGUAAUUAACCAAAAUUUGCUUCCAACUUUGCUGAAAUCAUUAAUUUAACUUAGAUGUUCAUCCUUCUGAAACAAACAAAGCAUUUUGUUGAGCACUCCCAAUGACGCCACUGAACCUGGAUGUCAUUCAGCAGUGCCCAGCUUGGGGACACGAGUGGACAAGCCCCGCCGGCACCAGGAUUCCCCACUGAGCUCCUUGCUAUGGCACGCAAGGCCAGCUUGUCCAGGGCCAAGAAGAGGUUCAUGAGGAGGUCCCAUGGCUUGGUGAGGUCUCCAAGAGAGAGGGCAUAAAGGAAGAGGGGAGGCAAGAGUUGCACUUAGUAGGAGCGCACAACCUGGAGCACUUGAAAUCCACGUGGGAGCAAGAACAUGCAGUCUGAGGUAGAGAGAUGGAAGCUCCAACUUAAAUUUGUUUGAGGUACUAUGAAACCGCACCUGGAAAACAUUAGACUUGUCAGCCUAGAAGAGAGAUGAAUGAGGUGGUAGUGCGAGGAAUCUGUGGUACAAAUCUAUAGAACAAGGAGUGGCCUGGAGACAGUUAAGAGAGAAUGAUAAUUCACAGUUAAUUAAUGCAAAAGUCAAGGGACAUCAAAUGGAAAUACCAGACAGAAGGCUCAAAGCAUACAGAAGUGAUUUUCACACAGUGUGAAGUUAAACUGUGGAACUACAUCAAGCCGUAGAUGCCAAAAGCUUAUAUGGAUUAAGAAAGCGAUCGGAUUUGUCUUCCUUUAAUUUGUCUAUCAAGAGCAGAAAUAAACUCCUUUUAGCUAAAAGUCUCUGAGCUGCACAAUUCGUUAUCUGCCCAGGAGAUGACCAGCCACCAUUGGAAACAGCAUACUGUGCUAACUCGGUCACUGUUCUGACCCACUACGGCCAUUCCGGUGCUCUAGCUGGUUUACGCGCAAGAUGUGCUUCCGUACCCACUGGCAGGACACAUCAUGGUAAAUCCAAGCUCAGUUAAUUCAAAACUUAAAACUAUAGGAAGUGCAAAAUAGUUGGAAGAAAUUACCAAUAUAUUCUCUUACCCAUUUACUGCUUAUGAGAAAGAUUUAGAAAAUAGGCUAAUGUGUUGGUGUUGUAGUUGGAAAAAAAAAGGUGUAGCAAGUUUGUUUGCCUAAUGUUCCCUAAGUACAGGGAGGUUAGAUCAAAAAAAUAUUUAAUCAUCUGCAUAAAACAGAUAUGCCUUUGGGCACCUUGCACAAUCCACACCCUCUCAUUAGUGAUUAUUUGAUGAUGUUUUGACAUUAAGCCAAACAAUGGGGUUUGAAACAAAUUAGAACAAAGCGAGAGUAAUAGAGUGCCCUAAAAUUCAUAUAGCCCAAGCAAGGCAAAACCCACACAGUGAUUCAGUUCAGCCUCCAUCCAAGGAAGUGAUGCGCUUUUUGCUUCUCCAAGAAUGAGAACUAUUAAAUGUAACAGCCACAUUGCAUAUGCAGUUGUUGCCAGAAAAUUUUAGCCUCCUGCAAGGUGUUGUCUUUUAUAGGAGCAAACUCUUGUUACCAAAUACAGCUCUGGCUUGUUUUGCAAUUUUGCUUUUUUCACACUCUGUCCCACUCCAUAUGGGCUGGGGGAGGACCGUGCUGGACUUCUGCUCGGUGCAGAGGGAGUACAAAAUGUUUCCUCUUCCUUUACACGUUGUUAAGAAGCGGCU